ACGCGAAGAACCUUACCAGGUCUUGACAUCCCCUUGACGGGUGUAGAGAUACACCGUUCCUACGGGACAAAGGAGACAGGUGGUGCAUGGUUGUCGUCAGCUCGUGUCGUGAGAUGUUGGGUUAAGUCCCGCAACGAGCGCAACCCUUAAUGCCAGUUGCCAGCAGGUGAAGCUGGGCACUCUGGCGUGACUGCCGGUGACAAACCGGAGGAAGGUGGGGAUGACGUCAAAUCAUCAUGCCCCUUAUGACCUGGGCUACACACGUACUACAAUGGCCGGUACAACGGGAAGCGAAGUCGCGAGGCGGAGCGAAACCUAAGAAGCCGGUCUCAGUUCGGAUUGCAGGCUGCAACUCGCCUGCAUGAAGUCGGAAUGCUAGUAAUC
rnacentral:rRNA from 1 species